rnacentral:rRNA from 1 species
UACAGAGGUCUCAAGCGUUGUUCGGAUUCAUUGGGCGUAAAGGGUGCGUAGGUGGCGCCGUAAGUCAGGUGUGAAAUUUCGGAGCUUAACUCCGAAACUGCAUUUGAUACUGCGGUGCUUGAGGACUGGAGAGGAGACUGGAAUUCACGGUGUAGCAGUGAAAUGCGUAGAUAUCGUGAGGAAGACCAGUGGCGAAGGCGGGUCUCCGGACAGUUCCUGACACUGAGGCACGAAGGCCAGGGGAGCAAACCGGGG